UUAACAUGCAGUUCGCACGGGUCGGGCUUCGGCAUCGGAUAGGUGGCGGACGGNGUGUAGAUAUCNCGUUAAGGUAUGCUAUCGCUUGGGCUGGGAGAUAGCCAUUGGGAAACUGGGGGAUAAUACCGCAUGACGCCUGUGGGCCAAAGGCAGUGAUGCCGCCUGACGAGCAGCCUGCGUCCGAUUAGCUAGUUGGUUGGGUAAUGGCUGACCAAGGCUGUGAUCGGUAGCUGGUCUGAGAGGAUGAUCAGCCACACUGGGACUGAGACACGGCCCANACUCCUACGGGAGGCAGCAGUGGGGAAUAUUGGACAAUGGGCGCAAGCCUGAUCCAGCAAUGCCGCGUGGAUGAAGAAGGUCUUCGGAUUGUAAAGUCCUUUCGGCGGGGACGAUGAUGACGGUACCCGCAGAAGAAGCCCCGGCUAACUUCGUGCCAGCAGCCGCGGUAAUACGAAGGGGGCUAGCGUUGCUCGGAAUGACUGGGCGUAAAGGGCGCGUAGGCGGAUGUUUUAGUCAGGCGUGAAAGUCCUGGGCUCAACCUGGGGAUUGCGUUUGAUACGGGGCAUCUAGAGUUGGGAAGAGGGUCGUGGAAUUCCCAGUGUAGAGGUGAAAUUCGUAGAUAUUGGGGAAGAACACCGGUGGCGAANGCGGCGACCUGGUCCUUGGCUGACGCUGAGGCGCGAAAGCGUGGGGAGCAAACAGGAUUANAUACCCUGGUAGUCCACGCUNUAAACGAUGUGCGCUGGAUGUUGGGCGGCCUAACCGCUCANUGUCUACCUAACGCGGUAAG
rnacentral:rRNA from 1 species